rnacentral:rRNA from 1 species
UGGCGGACGGGUGAGUAAUGUCUGGGAAACUGUCUGAUGGAGGGGGAUAACUACUGGAAACGGUAGCUAAUACCGCAUAACGUCGCAAGACCAAAGAGGGGGACCUUCGGGCCUCUUGCCAUCGGAUGUGCCCAGAUGGGAUUAGCUAGUAGGUGGGGUAACGGCUCACCUAGGCGACGAUCCCUAGCUGGUCUGAGAGGAUGACCAGCCACACUGGAACUGAGACACGGUCCAG